UUACCUAACUAUCACUAACAUCGAUGUUUUUCCCGAUAGUCUGGUAAUGUGCAAUACAUUUAGACAUAUGAAAAAUGUUAGAGGGAACUACCUAUAAUCUGUGCACAUUACCAAACUAUCGUUAACAUCGAUGUUGGAGGGAAAUAUUGUUAUUGAAAUAUUGUUAUGUUGAUUUGUAUUGAAGAACAGGACACCGAAGCUUGGACAAAAACACGAAUUGUAUUGCCAUGGAUGAGAGAACAGCUUUUGAAAAAUUAAAAUUGGAUAAUAAAAAGAAAAUGCGAAAUAUGCAUCGGAUGUUGGAGGGAAAUAUUGUAAUUGUUGAUUUGCAUUGAAGAACAUGACACCGAAAGCUUGGACAGAAACACGAAUUGUAUUGCCAUGGAUGGGAGAAAAACUCUUGAAAAAUGAAAAUUGGAUACUAAAAAGAAAAUGCGAAAUAUGCAUCGGAUGUCGGAGAGAAAUUUUGUAAUUGUUGAUUUGUAUUGCAGAACAGGACACCGGAAGCUUGGACAGAAACACGAAUUGUAUUGUCAUGGAUGGGAUAAUAAAAACAAAAUACGAAAUAUGCAUCGGAUUCUCUUCAAAUUUUACGCAUCCUAAUAUUGAUGACACAUGAUCGGAGUGAAAAUGGGAUAUAUGUUCAACCUCCUCCACAACGAGUCAGCAUUUUGAAUAACAGAGCGGUAAUAAAAAGCAUUGAAGAACAAGACACCUGGAGCUUAGACAGAAACACGAAUUGUAUUGCCAUGGAUGGGAGAAAAA